AGGGGCGUAGCUCAGCUGGCAGAGCGUCGGUCUCCAAAACCGAAGGUCGUCGGUUCGAAUCCGGCCGCCCCUG
rnacentral:tRNA from 1 species